rnacentral:rRNA from 1 species
UGCAGAAUCCCGUGAACCAUCGAGUCUUUGAACGCAAGUUGCGCCUGAAGCCAUCAGGCUGAGGGCACGUCUGCCUGGGCGCCAAACACCGAUGCCCCCCCAAAUCCCCUCGUCACUCUCCCCUGAGUGCCCGGGGAGUGUGGGGGUCGGAUGAUGGCCUCCCGUGUCUUGGCUCGCGGUUGGCCCAAAGUCGAGUCCUCGGUCACGGUUACCGUGGUGACAGGUGGUUGUCGGUCGCUCGGUACCCCGUCACGUGCGCCGGACACGAAUCGAGACUCUCUUGAUUACCCCAACGCAUCCCCGUUUGGGUGCCUCUGAUGUGACCCCAGGUCAGGCGGGGCUACCCGCUGAGUUUAAGCAUAUCAAUAAGCGGAGGAAAAGAAACUUACGAGGAUUCCCCUAGUAACGGCGAGCGAACCGGGAAAAGCCCAGGUUGAGAAUCGAUCGCCCCCGGUGUUCGA